rnacentral:sRNA from 1 species
GCAUAUAUAUAUUUUCCAUUUCUGAUGCAUCGAAUACAACUUAUAGCUGAAAGCGUUAUUUACGGUAUUUAAGCAUCUCUUGUGAAAAAAUAAAACUCUGGUUAAUAUAAUUAAAUCCUCGAGCAACCAUGGUUUUUUGCAGCAAACGAAUAUCCAUUGCAGCAGAUAAAUAUUCUCUUAGACAUUCCAUGCGGAAAUCAAAACUACAAGUAGCUAUGGCUUUUUGCAGCAAAUAUGUAUCCAAAUUGGCUAGAAGGAGG